rnacentral:rRNA from 1 species
AACUAUCCGGAGCUGGUCUGAGAGGACGACCAGCCACACUGCGACUGAGACGCGGCCGACACUCCUACGGGAGGCAUCAGUGGGGAAUCUUGGACAAUGGGGGCAACCCUGAUCCAGCAAUGCCGCGUGUGUGAUGAAGGCCUUCGGAUUGCAAACCACUUUUGGCGCGGGCGAAAUAUCGAGUGAUAUUACCCUUCUGUGAUGACGGUACCCGCACAAUAAGCACCGGC